rnacentral:rRNA from 1 species
UCGAGGAUCUUCGGCAAUGGGCGCAAGCCUGACCGAGCGAUGCCGCGUGUGCGACGAAGGCCUUCGGGUUGUAAAGCACUGUCGAGAGGGAGAAAAGCGAAAGCUUGAUCUAUCUCUGGAGGAAGGGCGGGCUAAGUUCGUGCCAGCAGCCGCGGUAAGACGAACCGCCCGAACGUUAUUCGGAAUCACUGGGCUUAAAGGGAGCGUAGGCGGGCUGCCAAGUCCGGGGUGAAAUCCUCCAGCUUAACUGGAGAACUGCCUCGGAUACUGGAAGUCUCGAGGAGGGUAGGGGCAAGUGGAACCGUGGGUGGAGCGGUGAAAUGCGUUGAUAUCCAUGGGAACUCCGGUGGCGAAGGCGACUUGCUGGACCCUUUCUGACGCUGAGGCUCGAAAGCCAGGGGAGCAAACGGGAUUAGAUACCCCUGUAGUCC